rnacentral:snRNA from 1 species
GGAUGUGAGGGCGAUCUGCCUGCGACAUCUGUCACCCCACUGAUUGCCAGGUUUGAUUUGGCUGAUCUGGCUGGCUAGGUAGGUGUCCCCUUCCUCCUUCACAGCUCCAUGUGCAUCCCUCCUGAAGCUGCACGCUUGGUUGAAGAGGAUUUACCUUCCCCCACAGAGGAGGACCAUUCUUCGGUCAAGGGUAUACAAGUAGCUGUGCUCCCCUGUUAGAACCUCCAAACAAGCUCUCAAAGAGUUUGAGAUCAACAGCUUGGAAGUACUCUUAUUAUCAGUGACAAAGGAAAGCAACCUCUUC